GAGCUGCGCGCGCAUUCAGCCGGUCUCAUAGGAAAGCAUUCAUAAUGCUUUCCUAUGGACGCUGGCGUCUUCUCACUGUGAUUUUCACUGAGAAUCACGCAAGCGCCUCUAGCGGCUGUCAAUGAGACAGCCACUAGAGGAUUUGGAGGCUGGAUUAACCCAUUUAUAAACAUAGCAGUUUCUCUGAAACUGCUAUGUUUAUAAAAAAAAGGGGUUAAUCCUAGAGGGACC
rnacentral:lncRNA from 1 species